rnacentral:rRNA from 2 species
UACGUAUGGGGCGAGCGUUGUUCGGAAUUAUUGGGCGUAAAGGGCGUCUAGGCGGGGGAUUAAGUUAGAUGUGAAAGCUAUGGGCUCAACCCAUAAAUUGCAUCUAAGACUGGUUCUCUUGAGUUCGGGAGAGGAGAGCGGAAUUCCAGGUGUAGCGGUGAAAUGCGUAGAUAUCUGGAAGAACACCAGUGGCGAAGGCGGCUCUCUGGCCUAGAACUGACGCUGAAGCGCGAAAGCGUGGGGAGCGAACAGG